GGGGGCGCCGCAUAAGAUGGCGGAUGCAGUAGCGGGCGAGGGUGCUUUAUUUCUGUUCGGUGAAUCAAGGAUUUUAAGAAGGUGGAAUGAACUGCCCUCAUCAUCCUCUGACAGCACUGACAAGAACUGCCACUUACUCAGCCUCCUUCCUAAAGCUGUUGCUUCCAGGCAUUCAAAAUAAUGCAAAGGUGCUACAGCAGAAGUUGAGCUAUCAUCAUGCUGGCAACACAGCUUUGAGAAGACACCUCCUAUUCUUCCUUUAAAGGCCAUGCACCUGCAACCUUACUGUACAGUUUCCUGACUGAAUGAAGGCAUACUGCUGCAGCAGAAAAACUUCUGG